UUCUAAUAGAUCUUCUUAUUAGUACCGCCUGCUCUAUGAUUUUUAAAUGGCCGCAAUUAUUUGUGCUAAGGUAGCAUAAUCAUUAGCCUUUUAAUUAAAGGCUGGAAUGAAAGGUAGACCAAGCAAAUUUCUUUAUUUUCAAAACCUCUCUAAAUUAAUUUAUAAGUCAGAAAGCUUAUUAAUAUAAGGAGGACGACAAGACCCUGUUGAGCUUUUACUUUUAGUUGAACUGGGGUGGUAAAAAAAAAAUAUCUUUAUGUUAAAUAACCCUUAGCAAGGAAGAACAAACAAGUUACCACAGGGACAACAGCAUAAUUAUUUUUAAGAGAUCUUAUCGAAAAAAUAGAUUAUGACCUCGAUGUUGAAUAUUAUUCUCUUUGGAGCAAAAUCCUAAGAAGAAAGUCUGUUCGACUUUUGAACAAUUACA
rnacentral:rRNA from 1 species